rnacentral:lncRNA from 1 species
CAGCCUAGUGGUAGUGUUUACCGUUCAAUUCAUGUAGAUCUCGAGUUCGAAACUGGUUGGUGCCAUUUUUGUUAUUUUUUUUCUUUACAAAAUAACAUUAAAUAACCGAAUGUUGCAAACAUGACUCAAACCUGCGUUAUACUGGUAUAAAAGCCAAUUUUAUAAGCUUUCUAAACAUGUAACUCAUAUUAAAGCAUAAAUAAUAGUCAUGAAUCACUAUUGUACCAAUUUCUCCAAGUAAAUCAAAACAAACAUGAAAUCCCAAACAAUUUAUCCACAAACAUAAUUAAACCAGAAUUGUACAACAACAUUAUCAAAAUGCAUUCAAUUAUACUACUACUAAAAUACUCAAUCAUCAGUAGCAGCCUUUU